AUCUUUCCAGUUCAUGAAUAUGAUGAUUGGUUUCUCACGGUGUCUCCGUGAAAGGUGCUGCCUUUCCUUGUUACGCAAUGCGCCUCAGCCUUUCUGAUC